UUUUAUAGUUUUUUUACUUUGUUAUUCAUUGUAUAUGCAGUAGUUGCUUCUCUCAGCUCUCUCAUUUCUCCAAAUACUUGCCCAACCCUAAAGACAGGGUUGCUCAUGUCCAUUUAUGCAUUGAAUGUUCUGAAUUUGUACUACAACUUCUCAAGCACAUAUUUUGAUAGGUUUAACUCAUCAUCAUCCAAUGGAUCUUUCUCAUCACAAAUAUCUUCCUCUUGUUCAUUGUUGUCAUUCAAAGUUUUGUCAACAUUUUGUUCAAAUAAAUCAUCAUCUCCAUCUUCAGAAUCAUAGUCACUCUCAUAAAACUCAGAGUCUGUUUCAGGGCACUCUUCUCCUCCAUCCUCUUCAUUCUCUCCCUCCUCUCUUUCCUUUACAUUCUCUCCCUCCUCUCUUUCCUCUGCAUUCUAUCCUCCAUCCUCUUCCUCUGCAUUCUGUCC
rnacentral:lncRNA from 1 species